AUUGUACAUAUGAAGGCUUUGGACCAUAUUGCCUUGUAAACAUAUAAAUGUAAUCUAGAACUCGAUUUUUUUCUCAGAAAUGUCUUGUGAAUCCAAUUUCAAAUCUCUUGGACUAAAUGAGGAGUAAACUACCACUUCAUACAUCAGAGCACAGUCGUUGACUUCCCAUCGCAGAAGAAUAAGCUAAAAAAAAAAAAAAAGUGACAUUUUUACUUUAGCUUGAACACUUUAUUUUCACUGUUUAAACACAACUUUUAAAGACGUGCUAAAAAAACCAAAUGAAGUUAAAAAAAAAAAGUUGUAUUGUUGCAAUGCAGAAUCACGAUGUAUUAUCGAGAUAAUAUCAGCAGUAAACACAGAACGACAGUUAGCUAAUGCUUUUUAUUUCCCGGCUUUUUUA